rnacentral:rRNA from 1 species
CACGUAGGGCGCAAGCGUUGUCCGGAAUUAUUGGGCGUAAAGAGCUCGUAGGCGGUCUGUUACGUCUGCUGUGAAAGCCCGGGGCUCAACCCCGGAACUGCUUUCGAAACUGCUGAGCUAGAGUACAGAAGGGGCAACCGGAAUUCCCAGUGUAGCGGUGAAAUGCGUAGAUAUUGGGAAGAACACCUGAGGCGAAGGCGGGUUGCUGGGCUGAUACUGACGCUGAGGCGCGAAAGCCAGGGGAGCAAACGGG